AGAGUUUGAUCCUGGCUCAGAAUGAACGCUGGCGGCGUGCCUAACACAUGCAAGUCGGAUGUGCCGCAAGGUGCAUGGCAGACGGGUGAGUAACGCGUAGGGAAUCUACCUUUUUGUGGGGAAUAACGCUCCGAAAGGAGUGGUAAUACCGCAUGAGACCGCAGACUGGGAUGUUUGUGGUGAAACCUGGGGACCGCAAGGCCUGGGGCAAGAAGAGGAUCCUGCGUCUGAUUAGCUAGUUGGCGGGGUAAUGGCCCACCAAGGCGACGAUCAGUAGCCGGCCUGAGAGGGUGAUCGGCCACACUGGAACUGAGACACGGUCCAGACUCCUACGGGAGGCAGCAGUGGGGAAUUUUGCGCAAUGGACGAGAGUCUGACGCAGCAACGCCGCGUGGGUGAUGAAGGUCUUCGGAC
rnacentral:rRNA from 1 species